rnacentral:rRNA from 1 species
CCUACGGGAGGCAGCAGUGAGGAAUAUUGGUCAAUGGGCGCGAGCCUGAACCAGCCAAGUAGCGUGAAGGAUGACUGCCCUACGGGUUGUAAACUUCUUUUAUAAAGGAAUAAAGUUAAGCACGUAUGCCUUUUUGUAUGUACUUUAUGAAUAAGGAUCGGCUAACUCCGUGCCAGCAGCCGCGGUAAUACGGAGGAUCCGAGCGUUAUCCGGAUUUAUUGGGUUUAAAGGGAGCGUAGGUGGACUGUUAAGUCAGUUGUGAAAGUUUGCGGCUCAACCGUAAAAUUGCAGUUGAUACUGGCAGUCUUGAGUACAGCAGAGGUGGGCGGAAUUCGUGGUGUAGCGGUGAAAUGCUUAGAUAUCACGAAGAACUCCGAUUGCGAAGGCAGCUUACUGGACUGCAACUGACGCUGAUGCUCGAAAGUGUGGGUAUCAAACAGGAUGAGAUACCCUUGUAGUC